rnacentral:lncRNA from 1 species
UUUUCACUUGGAUUAGAUUUGAGCUAUAAGGAAAAUAAAAAACUAAGCAGAGUUUUUAAUCUCUUAAAUCUGAUACCUGUAAUAUACACAAGGGUAAACCAUUCCAAAUACUUAAGUUCAUUGGGUAAAAAGGGUAAAGAGAUACUGGAAAAACUGGCUUGUCUGAUGACUGGAUGCAGCAGGGAAGGCCCUUGAUUUCUACCGAUAUGGUCCAUGAGCAUGAACAACAGAUCUAGACUCAGAAGACCUGGGUCCCAAAAACUUACCGGGAAGCAAAUACAUGUAGGCACGUGAAAGGACAGAGAAGAACGGAGGAAGGAAAGCACGUUUUUCACUUUCUUACAUAUAGCUCUGCAGAAUAAAUUAACUUGAGUUUUAUUUAUUUUGCCUUCUACUUAUAGUUCCUAAGUAUUUUUUUAAGUAUAAAAUAACCAAAAUAAUGAAACACAUAGGGAAACUGAAAGAAGGGGCCAGCUUUUUUAGAGGUUGUAAGAUUUAAAAAAAGAUCUGAUACCAAAAGGGUUAAAGUACAAGAAAGAAUUUAGAAGGAAAUAAGAGUAAUACCUUACUAAAAGGUGCAUGAUGUGGCUUUAAGAGAUCUGCACACUGCCUCUUUUUAAAAUAACUUUAUAAAGACAUAAUUUAUAUAGCAUAAAAUUGCUCAUUUCAAAUGUACAAUUCUAUGAUUUUUUAAAAAAUAAAUUUACCAAGUUGUGCAGCCAUCACCACAGUUUUAGACCAUUUCCAUCACCCCAGUAAGAUCCCUUGUUUUUACUUACAGUUCAUCCCCACUCCCAACCCCAGCCCUGUGCACAGGGACUCUUAACAAUUUCUUCCUCCAGACAAAAAAUAAUUAUCUCAGAAAACCAGGUAGCUACAUUUUUUUAAGCCUGAGGGAGGGGAGGUUAAGAUUGUAGUUUAUAUUUAAUAAUUUUUGAAAUCUUAAUAUUCUUACUAAGAUGCAAACUAUAACUAAAGGGUUCCAAUUUUGGGUUAGGUACAGACAAGGGAAAGUUAAUUCUAGAAAUCUCCCUCCUCAAUGAGUCAAUCAUAUUCCUCCUUUCAGUGGAUUAAUUUUUAAAAUAUACUCCCACUACCAACCUGGUGGGACAGAACACUCCAAAUGAGAAACUUUAUCAAUAUUAUUUCUUGGUAAGGGUUUUAUACUUGUCCAUUUUGUGUUUUAGGAUAUUUUAGCUAUUCUAUUUUAGCUAUUCUAUUUUGUCUGUUUUAACCCUUGACUUGUGAAGAACAGGACUUGAAGUACUCAUUGGUAACUAGGAAUUGGUAACCUCCACUCACUCUGGGGGAGGGUUUCCCGGAAUGAUUGCAUCAUCCAGUUUAAGGGUGUUGUUUGGAGUCAGACAUGCUUGUCUCUGUCUGUUUUAUCAUCCUUAGGGUGGUCUUGAAUACUUCGGAUAAACCCCAUCGGAGAGAGUAUGAAUGUGUGUGCACUGUCACUUUGCUCUGGGUAAAAGUUUAUUGAUAACGUGUUUCCUAUGAGUACACUACUGACCCUCUUAGAUAGAAUGUAUCAAAGACUGACUGCCUCUUCAGGAUCGUAUUUGCACCUUUUUUUCCUCUCAAACAUUGGAGUCUAAUUUCUUCCACACAAUUUUUCUUGUUGGAAGGUGAGAGGAGAAGCCCUAAAUCUCGGGACAGAGGCUGGAGGGCUCAGGUAAUGGAAACAGGAAAGAGGGAGUGAGCUCAGGUCAUCUAGGCCUCUGUGAGGCCAGAAGAGAGGUGGGGAAGAGGGAGAGAGGAUUCUUCCAAGGAAGUAAGAAAGGAGUUGGAGAAACGAGGGGCUUCCUUAGAAGCCUGAGAGUUUCAAAGAGAGUCAAGCCAGAUGAAAUUAGGGUUUUGGGGGAUUUUUUUUUAUUCUUUUUUUUUUUUUUUUUUUUUUUUUUUUUGAGACGGCGUCUCGCUCUGUCACCUAGGCUGGAGUGCAGUGGUGCAAUCUCAGGUCACUGCAACCUCCGUCUCCUGGGUUCAUGCAAUUCUCCUGCCUCAGCCUCCUGAGUAGCUGGGACUACAGGCAUCCGCCACCAUGCCCGGCUAAUUUUUGUAUUUUUAGUAGAGAUGGUGUUUCACCAUAUUGGCCAGGGUGGUCUCGAACUCCUGACCUUGUGAUCCGCCCGCCUCAGCCUCCCAAAGUGCUGGGAUUACAGGCGUGAGCCACUGAGCCAGGCCCAUUUUUUUAUUCUUUAAAGAGACAGGGGACAGGGUCUUGCUCUGUCUCCCAGGCUGGAGUGUAGUGGCAUGUUCUUAGCUCACUGCAAUCUCCAGCUCCUCAGUUCAAGCAAUCCUCCAGCCUCAGCCUCCCAAGUAGCUGCAACUACAGGUGCAUGCCACUACAGCCAGCUAAUUUUUUAUUAUUUUUUGUAGAGACAGGGUUGUCUCACUAUGUUGCCUAGGCUGGUCUCCAACUCCGGGCCUCAGGUGAUCCUCCUGUCUCAGCCUUCCAAAGCACGGGAUUACACAUAUGAGCCACUGUGCCCGUCUGAGAUGAAGAUUUUUAUUAUUACCAUGAGGCUGUUGACUCCUCUCAAUCACCCCCUUGUUUUCUCUACACCUGCAUGUAGAGAAUGGCCCUUGCUGACAAUUCCCUCAUUCUUCCCUUUUUCAUGUUUCUUGACAUCCUUUCUCUUCCUUAGGGCUUUCACAUUUCUGACUCUUUCUGCCAAAUCCCUUCCUGUAACAAUAUUUUAUAUUUUUUACUUCUCACUAUGUAUCCUGGUCACUGAGCUUCUGGAAAAAUAACCCGUAAUAGCUACGGGAUGGGGGCUUGUUCAAAGAGAUGAUCUGCCUUCUGUAUGACUGCACCUCUACUUCUGGCGCCUCAAAUAAAAACACCAGGUUGGCAGUUGUGGUAAGCAGCCUUCUAAGAUGGCCCCCAGUGAUCCUCGCCUCAUGGUAUUCAUGCCUUUCUGGAGCAUGAGGUGGACCUGGUAACUCCUUUUAACAAACAGAAUAACCCGGCUAAUUUUUUCUGUUUUCAGUAGAGACAGGUUCUCACUAUGUUGUCCUCCUGGACUCAUGUGAUCCUCCCACCUUGGCCUCCCAAUGUGCUGGGAUUACAGGCGUGAGCCACUGCACCCAGCCCAUGCCUGGCCUUUUUUUUUUACAUUUAAAUCUUUGAUGCAUUUUGAAUUUAUCCUACUAUAAGGUAAGAGAGGUAUGAACCUAGGCCUAUUGUUUUGCAGUAUAAAAGUUUGUUAAAAAACAGAGUAUGACCAAAGUGAUAAGCUGUCACGUCCUUGAUUAGGUCACAAAAAACUGACUUCCAUGGUGCUAGCACUCCCUCUCACCUUCUCACUUGCUGGCUCUGAUAAAGCAAGCUGCCAUGUUGUGACAUGUGAGAGGCCCGUGUGAGAAGCAACCAAGGGAAGACUUUGGCCAACAGUCAAACACCUCAAGAGGAACUAAACCCUGCCAGCUGAGUAAGUUUAGGGGCGGAUCGUUUACUGGCCAAGCCCUCAGCUACUAUUGCAGCCCAUCUCACAUCUUGACUGUAGGCCAUGACCCUGCAGUAAGCAGCAGACCCUGCUACACCAUGGCCAGAUUCCUAACCCCAUAAACUGUGAAAUCAUAUAAAUGUGUGUUACUUAAGCUGCUAACGUUGGAUAAUGUGUUAUCUAGCAGCAGAUAGCCAACACAGGAGUAACACAGUGUGGAAGUUUUACCAUUUCUCAGUGACCGGGCUGUGAAUAUUUCCAAACAGAUAUUGCUUUUAAAUAAAGUCUAGAUGAAUGAAUUAAUUAAACCCCAUUCCUGGCAAUCAGUAAUUACCUAUGUGUUUUCUGCAUUUUCUUUACCAAUAAAAGAGGGAUAAUAAUACCAAUAUCCUGUAGGGCAGUCACUGAGAGAUUAAGAAGAUACUCUAUGUAACACAUAGCAAGUACUCCAAAAAGUGCUAAUACACACUUUAAAAAGAUGCUCAAUUUAUUUUCCAUUGCAUUAGAUAUUAGCCCACUUAAACUGGGUCCCUUGUAUUAAAGUUACAGUGAUUAAGGUCCUAGAAUAAUAGAACCUUUCUUUGACUUCUCUGAAUUCAAAAUAAAAUUAGACUUUGGCAUAAAAUAUAUUCAAUGAAUUGCUAAUUCCUCAAGAAAUUAAUAUUUCUAAUUCUAUUUAAUUAAUGUUUUGGGAUAAGUAGCAAAAAUUUAAAUUUUCAUUUGAUAUUAUUUGAUAACAUAGAAAAAUAUGUAACACUUGAGGUAUAUGCAACAUUACAUUCUGCAGUGACUUCUAGAAUUUGCCUUCACAUAUUCUUUCUGCAGUCUUUGUUAAAAGAACUAUAUAAAAAUAACACUAAUUUGAAUGUCCAAAAAAAAGAAAAAGAAAAAAACAUAAAGAACUGUUUUUGGAAACAAUAGUAUACAAGUCAGGGGGUGAGCGACUGAAUUAAAGCAUUCUAAAAUCCUUGUGUUUUGAUUACCUUGUUAAACAUGCAUAUUAAAAUUCCUGAGGUAACGAGUAUGAGAAAAACACACAGCAUGUACAACCAUACGGAAAGAACAGACUAAGGAAGAAGCAGCUAAAUCCAUUAGGGGUGGGGAGAGAGCAGGAGGGAAGAAGAAGGAGGAUGGACGAAUGGAAAAGAAAUAGUUGGAUAACUAGAACCCAACAGAAAUAUACACAAGAGACCUCAAAGGGCCUUUCUCACAUUAACAGGUUAGCAAAAUUCACACUAUCUGUUCACAUGAAGUGUUGAAGAAGUGGCAUACCUAGAACUCCCCUAUGCUGCUGGUGGGAAUAUAAAUUCACAUAACCACUUAACAGGACAGGCCAAAUUUCUCUGCCACGCUAAAAAUACCCAUAACCUUAAAGUAGUAACCACUCUCUGAGGCAGAUAACACUGUAGCAGUGAUUCUCAAAGUGUGACCUAGGAACCCCUGGGAUUCCUUAGUGCCCUUUCAGGGGUCUGUGAGUACAAAAGCAUGUAUGGAUAAAAGAUAAAGAACCCAUUCAAAGGGCAAGAUAAACCAAUGCAUUUUAUUAUAACAGAGAGUGCUGUAAGUUAAUUAAUAAGGAUUCAGAGUCCAUAUGUAACUAACCUAUAUAAUCGCGAGUGGAGUUUUGUGGAACAUCAAAGAAGAAUACUCGUAAUUAUCUAAAAAGAAUACAAAAACAUUCUUCCUUUUCUACCUGCAUAUCUGUGAGGCCAUAGUAUCUUCAAUAUACUUCAACCAAAGCACAAAUCACAACAGAUUGAAUAUAGAAGCAGAUAUGAGAAUUGUUAUCUUCAAUUAAGACAGAUAUUAACAAAAUUUGCAAAUAUGUGAAACAAAUACUACUCUUAAUAAUAAAAUUUGGUUUUUGAAAAGUUAUUUUUACACAAAAAAUACAUUAACAUGUAGUAACUUUUCAUUAAGUUAUUUUAAUUUCUCAAAUUUAUUUCUAAUAUAGUAAAUACCGAUAAACAAAGCUCUUUGGUGACCUCAGUAAUUAACACUAUAAUGAGAUCCUGAGGCCAAUCCCAAGAACCACUGUCCUAGACACACCCUGCACAAGGAAAACGGACACAGAGGAUGA